rnacentral:rRNA from 1 species
ACCCGCUGAACUUAAGCAUAUUACUAAGCGGAGGAAAAGAAAUCAACGAAGAUUGCCUCAGUAGCGGCGAGUGAAGCGGCAAUAGCUCAAGUUUAGAAUCUGUGUCUUUUUAAGGCACCGAAUUGUAAUCUAAAGGGGCCAACCACAGGAGCGGCGGAGGCAUAAGUUCCCUUGGAAUAGGACAUCACAGAGGGUGAAAAUCCCGUAUGUAGCCUCCUCCAAACCGAGCGUUGACCUUCUAUGAGUCGGGUUGUUUGGGAUUGCAGCCCUAAAUGGGAGAUAAACUUCUUCUAAGGCUAAAUAUCUAUGGGAAACCGAUAGCGAACAAGUACUGUGAAGGAAAGGUGAAAAGAACUUUGAAAAGAGGGUUAAAAGACUUGAAAUCGUUGAGAAGGAAGCGGUAGAAGUGGAUUCCUUGUCUAUGAAGCAAAUUAUCUAAGGCACCAACUCGGAGUGGCCUCUGUACGUCAUUGGCUAAGCUAUUCCGAUGUAAUGGCACUUUAUGGUGGUUUCAUAGACAAAGAGCAGUCUUGUGUCUCCGGUAUUGUAUUCAAUAGGCUGGAAGCUCCCAGUUUAUAAACCAAUACCUUGGCCCAUUUCUGCUACAACGGCUUC